rnacentral:tRNA from 1 species
GCCGGAGUGGUGGAACUGGUAGACGCGCUGCGUUCAGGUCGCAGUGGGUGCAAGCCCGUGGGGGUUCGAGUCCCCCCUUCGGCA